AGAGCUCAGAUUUGGAACCAGGGUGCCAGUGCUCUUGGUUCCCAGCUCCACCACUUUCCAGUUGAACGAUCUUGGGCAAGUUACUUCAGUGCCUCGCUUUCUCAUCAGUAAAAUGGAGACAGUAACAUCUGCCUUUUACAGGGCUGUUGUAAGGCUUACCUGAAUUUCAUAUAUGUAAAGUGGUGGCUCAUACCAUGGGAUAUAUGUUUACAAUAGUUAUCAAUAAGCAAAUAAGUGAAAAUAUGCUGCACAAAGUGAUUACAAUGGAAUUAUUGCUUUUAUCAUGUAAAUGAUAACUUUGGUCUUCCUGUUAUUUAACAUGACUUAAUAUUCUACAGGAGUGGGGAUAGCUUUGCGAAAAAUGGGUGCAAUGGCCAAGCCAGAUUGUAUCAUCACUUGUGAUGGCAAAAACCUCACCAUAAAAACUGAGAGCACUUUGAAAACAACACAGUUUUCUUGUACCCUGGGAGAGAAGUUUGAAGAAACCACAGCUGAUGGCAGAAAAACUCAGACUGUCUGCAACUUUACAGAUGGUGCAUUGGUUCAGCAUCAGGAGUGGGAUGGGAAGGAAAGCACAAU
rnacentral:sRNA from 1 species